rnacentral:rRNA from 1 species
GACGAACGCCGGCGGCGUGCUUAACACAUGCAAGUCGAACGGAAAGGCCCUGCUUUUGUGGGGUGCUCGAGUGGCGAACGGGUGAGUAACACGUGAGUAACCUGCCCUUGACUUUGGGAUAACUUCAGGAAACUGGGGCUAAUACCGGAUAGGAGCUCCUGCUGCAUGGUGGGGGUUGGAAAGUUUCGGCGGUUGGGGAUGGACUCGCGGCUUAUCGGCUUGUUGGUGGGGUAGUGGCUUACCAAGGCUUUGACGGGUAGCCGGCCUGAGAGGGUGACCGGCGACAUUGGGACUGAGAUACGGCCCAGACUCCUACGGGAGGCAGCAGUGGGGAAUAUGGCACAAUGGGCGGAAGCCUGAUGCAGAAACGCCGCGUGCGGGAUGACGGCCUUCGGGUUGUAAACCGCUUUCGCCUGUGACGAGGCGUGAGUGACGGUAAUGGGUAAAGAAGCACCGGCUAACUACGUG